rnacentral:rRNA from 1 species
AUUACAGAGUUAUCCAACUCCCAAACCCAUGUGAACUUAUCUCUUUGUUGCCUCGGCGCAAGCUACCCGGGACCUCGCGCCCCGGGCGGCCCGCCGGCGGACAAACCAAAACUCUUGUUAUCUUAGUUGAUUAUCUGAGUGUCUUAUUUAAUAAGUCAAAACUUUCAACAACGGAUCUCUUGGUUCUGGCAUCGAUGAAGAACGCAGCGAAAUGCGAUAAGUAAUGUGAAUUGCAGAAUUCAGUGAAUCAUCGAAUCUUUGAACGCACAUUGCGCCCAUUAGUAUUCUAGUGGGCAUGCCUGUUCGAGCGUCAUUUCAACCCCUAAGCACAGCUUAUUGUUGGGAACCUACGGCUUCGUAGUUCCUCAAAGACAUUGGCGGAGUGGCAGUGGUCCUCUGAGCGUAGUAAUCUUUUAUCUCGCUUCUGUUAGGUGCUGCCCCCCCGGCCGUAAAA